rnacentral:rRNA from 1 species
ACACGCAUGACACACUGCAUAUCAAUAAGCGGAGGAAAAGAAACUAACUAAGGAUUCCCUCAGUAAUGGCGAGUGAAGCGGGAAGAGCUCAAAUUUGGAAUCUUCAAGGUUCUACCUUGACGAAUUGUAGUUUAAAGAAGUGUUUUCUGUUGGAGUUUUGGUAAAAGUUCUUUGGAAUAGGACAUCAUAGAGGGUGAGAAUCCCGUAUUUGGUCAUUCCUCCUAGCGUUGUGAUACACUUUCAAAGAGUCGGAUUGUUUGGGAAUGCAGUCCAAAAUGGGUGGUAAAUUUCAUCUAAAGCUAAAUAUUGGCGAGAGACCGAUAGCGAACAAGUACCGUGAGGGAAAGAUGAAAAGAACUUUGAAAAGAGAGUUAAACAGUACGUGAAAUUGUCAAAAGGGAAGCGUUUGACACCAGUGUUGUUUUCUCGAAAAUCAAUUAAAAAUGAUGGGAUUUUGUGUUGUAUUGACUUUAUCAGCUUUCUGCACUUUUUUCUUAUCUUUUUUAAUGCACUUUUCGUUUAACAAGUCAACAUCAAUUUCUUUUGUUGUAAAAGAGUAUGAGGAAGGUGGCUUUUCUUUCGGAAAAGUGUUUAUAGCCUUGUGCCUCUGCAAUCGGAGAGAUUGAGGUCUGCAGCGUAGAUCCUUCGGGGUUAGAUACAUUUGUGCUAAGUUAUAGUCUUUCAUAGACAACUUGUUGACUAUAAUUAAUCUUGUAAUUUACUCGCAGAUGCUAUUUUACCUACGCUUAGGAUGUUGACUGAUAUGUAGUCGUA